rnacentral:lncRNA from 1 species
UCUCCUCUCUGGGUUGAAGGUAGGAGUGAGACUGUCAUUACGUGUUUCUCUCUCUCUGGGUUGAAGGUAGGAGAGAGGGUCAUUACUGUUUCUCCUCUCUGGGUUGAAGGUAGGAUGAGACUGUCAUAGGUUUCUCUCUCUGGGUCUGGUUGAAGGUAGGAUGAGACUGUCUUACUGUUUCUCCUCUCGGGUUGAAGGUAGGUGGAGCUGUCAUUAUUGUUUCUCCUCCUGGGUUGAAGGUAGGGUGAGACUGUCAUUACUGUUUCUCCUCUCUGGGUUGAAGGUAGGGUGCUCUCUCUGGGUUGAAGGUAGGGGAGACUGUCAUAUUGUUUCUCCUCUCUGGGUUGAAGGU